rnacentral:rRNA from 1 species
GAUGAACGCUGACAGAAUGCUUAACACAUGCAAGUCUACUUGAAUUUGGGUUUUUAACUUAGAUUUGGGUGGCGGACGGGUGAGUAACGCGUAAAGAACUUGCCUCACAGCUAGGGACAACAUUUAGAAAUGAAUGCUAAUACCUAAUAUUAUGAUAAUAGGGCAUCCUAUAAUUAUGAAAGCUAUAUGCGCUGUGAGAGAGCUUGCGUCCCAUUAGCUAGUUGGAGAGGUAACGGCUCACCAAGGCGAUGAUGGGUAGCCGGCCUGAGAGGGUGAUCGGCCACAAGGGGACUGAGACACGGCCCUUACUCCUACGGGAGGCAGCAGUGGGGAAUAUUGGACAAUGGACCGAGAGUCUGAUCCAGCAAUUCUGUGUGCACGAUGAAGUUUUUCGGAAUGUAAAGUGCUUUCAGUUGGGAAGAAAGAAAUGACGGUACCAACAGAAGAAGUGACGGCUAAAUACGUGCCGGCAGCCGCGGUAAUACGUAUGUCACGAGCGUUAUCCGGAUUUAUUGGGCGUAAAGCGCGUCUAGGUGGUUAUAUAAGUCUGAUGUGAAAAUGCAGGGCUCAACUCUGUAUUGCGUUGGAAACUGUAUAACUAGAGUACUGGAGAGGUAAGCGGAACUAUAAGUGUAGAGGUGAAAUUCGUAGAUAUUUGUAGGAAUGCCGAUGGGGAAGCCAGCUUACUGGACAGAUACUGACGCUGAAGCGCGAAAGCGUGGGUAGCAAACAGG